rnacentral:rRNA from 1 species
UACGGGGGGGGCAAGCGUUGUUCGGAAUUACUGGGCGUAAAGGGCGCGUAGGCGGCACGGCAAGUCUGAUGUGAAAGCCCUGGGCUCAACCUGGGAAUGGCAUUGGAAACUGGCGACCUAGAGUGCGGUAGAGGGUAGUGGAAUUCCCGGUGUAGCAGUGAAAUGCGUAGAGAUCGGGAGGAACAUCUGUGGCGAAGGCGACUGCCUGGACCAGCACUGACACUGAGGCACGAAAGCGUGGGGAGCAAACAGG